rnacentral:lncRNA from 1 species
CCGCUGCAGAGGUAGGAUUCUCCAGAAAAAUGUUUUCCUCCUCCUCUGUUGUCAACAGCACAAGAAAAGUAAGGAGGUUUGCACCAUUCCGUCCCCAGCUCCAGCUCUAAGCUGUCAGUCAGGAACGUCGAUGCAGCAGAACAGUUCUCCAUUGUUUACUUCAUGUUCUGAAACACUUGGGGUUCGUCGUAUCAUUAAGGGCUCCAAAGAGAAGGUGUGAAGAGAUUCCUGUUGGGGGGGGGGGGGUGGGGCCGAGAGAGUGGGGAUUACUUCAGAAAGUUCUCAAGACGUCCGCCAGCAGGAAGGAAAAACAAACGAACAAACCCAGAGGCCAAAUUCCCAAUUCCCCCUCGCCCUCCGUCCAUCAAGGCUGUCAGAACUUAAGACAAAAUGCACAACCAACUGGCUGUGGCAGGGACCUCGAAAUCCGGCCACUAAGUCGGGCUCUGCAGCCCAGGACAAGGUGAAAAGCAAAGAAAUGUCUGCAGGACAUAGCGUCCCGGGCUUGCCUAGAACUGCGCCCUCCGCAACGUUUCUAAACCACUCUCCGCCCGUUUCCCAGCAGCAGGGUGGAGAACGCUCCCUCCCCGGCUCGGGGUGGAAAUUAGGAAAGCAACCCCUAGGGCCAACCCCGACCCUCCAAGGAGGAGGCGAGACCCACCAGGCCCACGCCUGGCAGCACUCGGGCGGAGAAGGCGGGGUGCCGGUAUCCCGCGUACCCGGCUGCAGCAAGGACCCGGGGCGUCGGUUACCCGCGGUGCCUGUCGUACCCGCUCACAUUUCCAGCUCCCGAAACCUGCCUCCUGUGACCCAGACCACCAACAGGAAUCUUUGGGGUCUAAACCGCAAACAGGCGAAAUUCCCGCCACCGCGCGCCCGCGCUCCGGAAAGGCGGGGCCACGGCGCAGCCCUCCCCCGGCUACCAAUCGCCUCGCGAUAUCUGCGCGGAAACAGUCGGAGCCCCACGAAUUCUCGCGAGAGUCCGUCAGUCCGGGACGAGGUACUGAGAAACUUUUUUUUUUGUACCUUUAAUUGGUGCGUUCGGCUGAAAGGCGGGGCCUGGUAAAAAAAAAAAAACAGAACUGCUGCUGAGGCGGAGGAGAGGACUUAAGGACUAUGGGUUUAUCCUCUGGCCGGACCAAAGAGAAGAUAUUUACUCCAGUGAGUGCGAACAGACACUCUCUGCGUAGGAUCAUCAUGCCGAGCAUAAACUGGACUUUCCCACUUGCCUGGCAGGAGUCACACAGAUCCCUGCGUGCUAAAUGAACAUCUGAGCAGAGAAGGAUGAAUGCUGCAUAAUUAAGUACAGUA